rnacentral:rRNA from 1 species
CAAUAGCGUAUAUUAAAGUUGUUGCAGUUAAAAAGCUCGUAGUUGGAUUUGUGGUGUACUUCGGCGGCCCGUCACUAUGUGAUGGAGCUUGCUGAAGUCGCCAUCCUUGGGUGGAUCCUGUGUGGCAUUAAGUUGUCGUGCAGGGGAUGCCCAUCGUUUACUGUGAAAAAAUUAGAGUGUUCAAAGCAGGCUUAUGCCGUUGAAUAUAUUAGCAUGGAAUAAUAAGAUAGGACCUUGGUACUAUUUUGUUGGUUUGCGCACCAAGGUAAUGAUUAAUAGGGACAGUUGGGGGUAUUCGUAUUUCAUUGUCAGAGGUGAAAUUCUUGGAUUUUUGAAAGACGAACUACUGCGGAAGCAUUUGCCAAGGAUGUUUUCAUUAA